ensembl:lncRNA
AGGGCCACCCUCGUGGUACAUGGAGGUUCCCAGGCUAGGGGUCAAAUUGGAACUGUAGCCACUGGCCUACACCACAGCUGUAGCAACUCAGGAUCCGAGCCGCAUCUGUGACCUACACCACAGCUCACCAGAUCCUUAAUCCACUGAGCGAGGCCAGAGAUCGAACUGCAUCCUCAUGGAUCCCAGUCAGAUUUGUUAACCGCUGAGUCACGACAGGAACUCCACAAGGUUGAUAUUUUUUGAUCCACCAAACCACUUGUAGGAUUUAACCCUAAAGGAAUAAUCAGAAAUGUAUAGAAAAUGUUUGCUCUUGUUUAUCUUAUCGAUAGUAUUGAAAAAUGAUCCAAAUGUUUAAUAGUGUGGGUGGGACUGGUUAAAUGAAUCUUGGCACAGCCAUGACAGAGGAUGCUCUUCAGCCAUUAAGUGGUAUUAUGAAAAGAAAAAUAUUUUAUUGAAUACUUAUGAUACAUCUGGCAUUAUGCGAAGCACCUUAAUUAUACUAUCUCACUUAAGCCUAACAAUAUCCCUAGAUGGUAGGUAUAAUUCUUCCCAUUUAUUCGAAAAAACACAGACGUUAAGUUCAAACAGCUGGUAAUGUUGCUGGAAUUCAACCCAUGUCUGCUCUUAAUCCUAAUUCUUAAUCACUGUGCUAAUGAUGGGGGAAAGUAUUCACUGUUUACUAGUAAGUUACUGUUGUUUGAGGGGGGUUGUUGGUGAGUUCCCAGCAUGGAGAAGGACAUGGACAGCACUGCAUCCUUAACCUCUAGGCUACCAGGGAACUCUGAGUUAUUGUUUUAAUGCAGGUUAACUGACCUUAAAACAAACAAACAACAAACUCCUUUUUUGUGUGGAGUUCCUGCUGUGGUACAGUGGUUUAAGUAUCUGACUGUAGGGAGUUCCCUCUGUGGCUCAGUGGUAAUGAACCUGACUAGUAUCCACAAGGUUCAACCCCUGUCCUUGCUUAGUGGGUUAAGGAUCCAGUGUUGCUGUGAACUGUGGAAUAGUUUGCAGACACAGCUUGGAUCAGGGGUUGCUGUGGCUGUGCUAUAGGCUGGCAGCUACAGCUCCAAUUUGACCCCUAGCCUGGGAACUUCCAUAUGCCACAAGUGCAGCCAUAAAAAAAAUAAAAAUAAGAUCCCUUCAUGUGAAAUCCCUUCUUCCUAAUUUUGGAAGUUACUGAUGAGCUGACAUGAUUUUUUCCCCCAAGAUGAAUCUGCCUUUAUACGUGUUCUUUAUUGAUUUUGAAAGUAUUGAAUGCCUGUUCUAAGAACUCAAGUGAUACUGAAGAUUAUGAAGCUCUUUUUAUUUUUAUUUUAAAAUUUUAUUUAUUUAUUUUUGGCCAUACCCAUCGCUUAUGGGAGUUCCUGGACCAGGGAUCCAAUCCAAGCUGCACCUGUGACCUGUGCCACAGCUGCAGCAAUGCUGGAUCCUUAACCCACUGAGCCACAGUGGGAACGCCUUUUUAAAUGUUCCCUCAAUUCUACCUCAUCUUGCUCUUGUGUCAGCUUACCCCUUGGGAUGGAGAUGAACCAGAAAGGCAUAUUGAGUGGAGGGAUCCAUGUAGGUCUAAAUGGCUAAAUUCCAACACAGAGAUCCAUAGUGUAUGUGAUUAAGCAUGGCAGUUGAAGCACUGUCCCUGGAGGCCAACUGUGUAGACUGUGUCCCAGCUUCUGAACUAGGGCAACUUACUUGUCCUCUUGGUGCCUUACUGUAAGGAUGAUGAUGAAGGUAUUGAUGGUGAUGAUGACAUGGCACACAUGCAGAGAUGGAAGAAAAGAAAAAUAACUUAAUAGCACUUAUGUACUGUAUACCUAUAUGGUCUCCCAUUUGAGCUCUAUGGGUUAGAUAUUUUUAUUAUUCCCAUUUUAUACAGAUGAGGAAUAUAAAACUCAGGAGCUUACAUAUUUCCACAUGUAGAGUGAAUCAUUAGAGGACAUGAUAAACACUGAAAGCCAGCUGACCGGGAGAUAGCAAAAUGCCAUGGAAUGAGCUGACAAACUGGCCUGCAGUGGAACUACCAUCGAGGACCAAGGCUCAGUGCUGGAACUUUCAGGACUGGGUGGUACCCAAUCUGCCUUUGCAGUCUGGUUCUUAACUCACUGCACCAUGGGAACUCUCUAUAAAUAUUUCUGUUUCUCCCUUAAUAUGUACUAAAAUUAUUUCUGAGUAUCAAUCUAUCUCAUUUGUGCUUUGAGGAAGCAAAUAGGCAAAAAGGAUCUUUGGCCAUCUUCUGCUGGCGUUUUCGAGAAGAACUUUGUCAGACACAAGGUGUGCUGGGCUUCAAAUGUCAGAAGCCCAAGAGGGCAAAGAUACGCACUGCAAGAAAGCCUCUUUCCCAAAGGCUUCUGGAGUAUUCUCUGCUCCAGGCUUGAAAGGUUUUGAACAAUGUUCUUUGUCUUAGAGGAUGGCCUUUCACUUACUCAUCUGUCCAGGAUGACUCAUCGCCAAGAGUGUUGAGUAAGUGAAAUUUUUACAGUAUUUAUGUUUUGGGACUUUAUAAACAUGGUGAUGUGGAAAGAGCAUGGACUUUGGAGUCAGACAGACCUGGGGUAAGUUCCUUGCUUUGUAACUUAGUAGUUGUGCAAUUUGGGGCUAGUUAAUAACUUCUCUGGGAUUCCUCAUCUAUAAAACAGGAAUGAUGAAAUUUACUGCACAGAAUGGGUAUGAAAAUGAAGUGAGCCAGCAAAAAUGAAAGUGGACCCUGUAACCUCUGGCACACAUAGUCACUUAUGCCUUUCCUUCUGCUGUCAGAUGGUGGUUGUGAGGUGAGCAUUUGCCAUGUCUUGUAUUUAUUUUUAUAUUUUCUACUAUAUAAAGUACAGUGCUUUGUUUACAUUUGCAUCUGUAAAUACCAGACAAAUGACAUUGGCAUCCAUGUGCAGAAACUGGAGCAUGAGUGGACAGAUUUAAGGUGUGUUUUAAUGUUUAUUCAUCUAUUUAUCCUAUCAUAGAGAACAACCGCGAAGUGUGGAUAAGUAGGAUGUGGGGUCAGGGCGGAGGAGUGAGGCAGGUCAUUCCCUGCACAGGGCCACCAGCUCCAGGGGAGAGUGGGGACUAAGCUCUCGGCCCCUCUGCUUACAGAGACCCUGAGAGCACCUGCCUUUGCUGGAAGGCAGCCUUCUAUGGGGGAAGGACAGCCCCAUCUCUUCGGAUGCAAGGGGCUCCUCUUAUAAACCAUUUGCUGGGCUUGGGUUAAAUGUUUUCUUUUUGGAGUUUCCUGGUGGCCUAGCCAGUUAAGGAUCUGGCAUUUUCACUGAUGUGGCUCCGGUUGCUUCUGUGCCAUAGGUUCCAUCCCUGGCCUAGGAACUUUGGUGUGCCAUGGGCAUAGCAAAUUAAUUAAUUAAUUAAAAUUAUGAAAUUAUGUGAAGAAUAAGAUGACACUCAUUGACCCAUGAAUUGAGAUGGCCAUAAUUGCUGUAACUUUUUAAAAUUUUUUUAGUUAAUAUCAUACUUUUAGAAAAACUGGAUGGAAUAUUACAAAGACUUCCCAUACAUUCUUCACAGUUUCCCAGAUUUAAUAGCUUACCACAUUUGCUUAUCCUUGUCUGUCUCUAUUACAUGCACAGAUUUUUUUUUUGAGCCAUUUGAGAUUAAAUUUCCCUCCCUCCCUCUUCUUCCUUCCUUCCCUCCUUUCUUUCCACUAAGACAUUUAGGUAGAGCUAAAACUUCCCCUCCUUGCCCCUCCCCUCUUCUCCCUCCCUGCCUCUCUUUGCCUUUUGUCAUUUUUUCCCCCUUUUUUUGGCCUCUCUGGGGCAUAUGGAGUUCUCAGGGAUCAGACCUAUGCUGCGACAAUGCUCCUUAACUUACUGUGCCAGGCCAGGGUUCAAACCUGCAUCCCAGCACUUCAGAGAUGCUGCAGAUCCUGUUACACCCCCGCAGGAACUCCACUCCUUGCCUUUGUCAGGGAACCUGAUGUUUUACAUGUUUUUGUGCUUUUACCACAUAUGAUUAGAUCUAUAGAGGAAUUUUUGUUAUUUUGAGACUUGUUUUGUAAUCCAGUACACAGUCACUUUUUUUUUUUUUUUGCUGUGCCUACGGCAUAUGGAACUUCAUGGGUCAGGGAUCAAACCCCUGCCAAAUCAAUGACCUAAGCCACAGCAGGUACAGCACCAGAUCCCGCUGAACCAUCAUGGAACAUGAUCAAUUUUACAAAUUGUUGCAUAUAACCUGAAAAUGAAUGUGUACUUUUUAAAAAAUUUAUUUUAUUUAUUUAUUUAUUUUGCUUUUCAGGGCUGCACCUGUGGUAUAUGGAAGUUCCCAGGCUAGGGGUCAAAUCAGAGCUGCAGCUGUCAGCCUAUACCACAGCCACAGCAACCCAGGAUCUGAGCUGCAUCUGCGACCUGCACUACAGCCUGCAGGGUUAAGCAUUGCUGAAUCUUUACCCUGCUGAGUGAGGCCAGGGAUUGAACCCACAUCCUCAUGGAUACUAGUUGGAUUUUUAACCCACUGAGCCACAACGGGCAGUCCAACAAGAGAAGUCAGCUUUUUAGAUAAUAUUGACCAAAUCCUUUUUUUCCAUUAUUCCAAAACUAAAUUUUAAUAUUCCUGUGAUGUUUAUGGAACUGGAAGCUUAGUAAAAAUGUUUCUUAGCUAAUUCAACAAAAAUUGAAUAUUAUUUGCUAUACAGUGGUAAAUAGAAUACAUGUGGGGAAGAGUGGGGAAAGUAGACACAAAACUAUUGAACCCAAAUAAAUUGUGAAAAUUGAUAAAUGAGAAAAGAACUGUUUCCAUAAGGGAGAAAACAAUGGGUUGUGGAGGAUGUUCCAAGAGGAAUGAACAGCUCUAGGAAGGUCAUGGGCCAGGACAGACCUUGGCCACUGAAGGGCUGGGCUGACAGAAGCCAGCAAGGCAGGAACCAAGAGGUGGCCUUACUGGGACAGACAUGCUGUUUGAGCCAUGUGAAAGCUUUUGAUUUUGUUCCAGGAAUUGGACUCUGUUGAAGGGUUUUCAGUGGAGAGUAAGAUGACUUAUUUAUAGUUUUAAAUAUAACUCUAACUGAUAGGCGGAGAAUGAGCAGAGAAAAUCUAGCAUGGAAGCAGGGUUACAGUAUAGAGCAACUUUGGCAAAUGCAGGUGUUUAUGACCUGAGAGUAUGUUUACCUCUUCUCAGAGAGUGUAACUCCACCACAUGGUGGAGUUCCCUUGUGGUGCAGUGUGUUAUCAAUCCAGUAUUGUCACUGCAGCAGUUUGGGUCACUGCUGUGCACAGGUUUGAUCCCUGGCCUAGGAAACUUCCGCAUGCCCCAGGUGUGGCCAAAGAAAAACCCCAGACCAACCACAUGGCAAGCCAAACAGACUUAAACUAACUUCAUCUGUAAAGAAUUGUUUAUACAGUUUUUAAUAAUCAUGGUAGAUUCUUCACAAGUCUAGAAGGUCUAAAAUUAUAGCCAUAACCCCACCAUAAUUUAAAUUUUGUAAAAUAUUUUUAUUUUGAGAAUUUUAAACUUCUGUAGAAAGAGAAGAGUGCAAUGAAUUCCCAUUACCUUGGGAAUUAAAUUACUCAAUGAAUAUUAGGUUUGCUGACAUUGACUUCAUCUGUCACUUUUCUUCCUUUGUGAAAUAUUUAUUUAGUGAUUGACUUUUUGCUUUUUAGGGCUAUAUCCUCGGCAUAUGGAGGUUCCCAGGCUAGGGGUCCAAUCGGAACUAUAGCUGCCAGCCUACACCACAGCCACAGCAACACCAGAUCUGAGCCUCGUCUGUGACCUACACCACAGCUCACAGCAACACCCUAUCUCUAACCCACUUAGCAAGGCCAGGAAUUGAACCCACAACCUCAUGGUUCCUAGUCAGAUUUGUUUCCACUGUGCCACGACAGGAACUUCUCCUUUGUGAUAUUUAAAAGCAAAUCCCAAAUAUAUAAUUUUGUUCCUUACUAUAAUAAGGAUCCAACUCUAAAAUAUGAACAUUUUCAUACAUACCACAGACAUUCAUGAAAUGUAAAAAUUUAUUGCUAACAUCUAGUAUCAAUUCCAUAACCACAUUUCUUUGAUGUCUCAAAAAAUUUCUUUUUAUAGUUUAUUUGUUCAAAUCAGAAUCCAAAUAAGAUCCAUAGCAUGUAUUUGGUUGUUAGAUCUUUUAAGUCUCCUUUAACCCAGGGCACUGGUUUUUCCUUUCCUCCUUUUUUUUUUCCUUUUAAAAAAUUUAUGUCAUUGAUUUGUUGUAGAAACUGGAUUAGUUGUCCUAUAAAAUGUCUAAAUAUUGCAUAAUAAAAACUCUUCAAUUAAAAAAAAAAGGACAAAAUGCAGGGUUUGAGCCUUUCAACUUCCAGUAAGUCAGCCCAUCUCUUUGGAAUGUUCUUUGAAGUGUCUGGCAUUCAAUCCAGUCCAGUGAACCAUAAACACUCACCACGCUUGGCACACAUACGCAGGCUGCUAAAUAACAGUGCUUUUGCUGGAUGUUUGAAUUUUAUCAUUCAGGCUUCUCAGGUUCUUGACCUGUUUACUCACUGUGAUUUGUCUACUGUUACUAAAUUAACAGAAUCUGAAAAUAGCACUAUUUCUGAAACAUUUUUUUAAAAAGCAAUUAAGAUAAUGCCUGUUUGCUAAACUCCAUCUUCUCUACUUCAGAAAUUAGAAAAUUAAAAAUAGUUGAACUGGAGGUAGCAUCCGUAAAAGCCAAAUUUGGUUCCACUUUGAAGAUGCAGAGAAGAAGCAGUGACCAGACAAUGCAUGUUUUCUUCACUUCAGCGUCUGCCUUCACCUUUGAUUUCUUUGCUAUAAUUAGCCUCUGUUGCCAGUUAAGCUUACUACCUGCAGUAACUAGAUCAGGAGUUCUUUUAGCUUUGUUGUUUCAAUAGUGCAUGAAUAUUAUUACAAAUUUAAAAGGGUUUUUUAAAAUGUCUAUCUCAUGCUAAUCAUUUUGACUCAUUUACUAAUUUGAAUAUUCAAAGCAAAGGUAUACUUCCAAAUCAAGCAUAGGCCAUAUUUACAGAAAACUGGAUAUUUAAUGUUUUUUCACUUCUGGAAAACCAAAAACAGUAUCUUCAUUGAACCUGUGCUCACACAUUCUGGACUUAACCCUGGUUCUACAACUUACAUGCUAGAGAAACCAUUUAAUUUUUCCAAGCCAUAGUUUUCUCAGGAAAAAUGAACGCACUCUACUUAAUUUAUAGGGACUUAGGGGUAAUAGGUGAAACGGUUUAAAGUGUAGCUUGGGUAAUUUUGGGUGUGUUCUUUGGAUCAGGCCCUAAACUAGGAGACGGUUGACAGAUAUGUAUUUGCUAUUUUAUUUGGCCAUGCCUUCGGAGGAGGGAUUGAACCCACGAUACAGUUUCAACCUGUUCCGAAGCUGUGGCAAUGUUGGAUCGUUAGCCCCCUUCACCAUAAGGGAGCUUCCCAUAUUAGUUAUUUUAAGAUGAAAGAGGGAGUUCCCAUUGUGGUGAAGUGGAAACGAAUCCAGCUAGGAUCCAUGAAGAUGCAGGUUCAAUCCCUGGCCUUGCUCAGUGGGUUGGGAAUCUGGCGUUGCCGUGAGCUAUGGUGUAGGUCAAAAAUGAGGCUCGGAUCCCGCAUUGCCGUGGCUGUGGCAUAGGCCAGCAGUUUCAGCUCCAAUUCGACCCCUAGCCUGAGAAAUUCCAAAUGCCGUGGAUGUGGCCCUAAAAAGCAACAAAGUUUUUAAAAAAAUUUUUUUAAAUAAAAAAUAAAGAUGAAAGAGAAAGGUUUGAGAACCAGGAUCCUCGAAUCCUCAACUAGCCAGCUACUGUGGCUUCAGCUGCCCCCUCUUGAACCCUUUAAGAGAUAAGUAGAGAGGACCAGGUUAAACAGACACCAGCCAAAGAUAAGAGCUGGAGCCUUGACAUAUGUUUGGGAUGAAUUGGGUGGUCAGCGGAUAAUCUUUCCUGUGGUCCACUGAUAAUUAGUUACUCUUUGUGCUCCUAUAACUCUUUGGAUUCAUCAUAUUCUGCCUUGUAGGAUAUUUAUUUUGUACAAAUAUAUACCAUCCACUUAAAUAUCUUAAGAGCAGGGGUCAUAUUUAUCUUCCUAGAAUUUCCUAAUGUAGUAAGAACUCAAUAAAUGUUUAUUUAAUCAAAUUGGCACUUGAAUGGCCAGAAAUGUCACCUCAUCAUAUGGUCUUCAAUUAGAAAAGACUUCGUAGUUGCAAAGUCGAAAAAGCAACUUAAACCAAGCCAAACUACACUAUACACUAACAAUGAGAUUAACAUUGGAAGGUAAUAUUCCAGGAGUUAUAAUGGACAAGCUGAAUUAAGUAUUGGUUUAUCCAUUCAUUUAGCAAACGUUUGUUGAGAACUUGUUGUACGUUAGACACUGUGCUUGAUGAACAGGAUGCCAAGGUGAAACUCAGCACUCAGGGAGUUCACAGUUUCAGUUGUGUUGAAUCUGGGAAUAGGUUUUGUUUUUGUUUUUUUUUUGGGGGGGGGUGUCUUUUGA